rnacentral:tRNA from 1 species
AGAUGUAUAGCAAAUAAUUGUAUCUGAUUUCGACUCAGAAGAGACCUGAUUAAGGUUACAUCUU